UUUUCAUGCUGUCCAAAAGAAGAAAAAGAAAAAGAAACUGGGGAGAGUUUCUUCAUGAGUCCAUUUGAUUUCUCAUAGAAAAAUUAUGAUCUACAAAGAUCUAACCGUCCAAACUUAAAUUUGAUUUCAGAAACGUGAUCUACGAAGUCCAAUCUACGUUUCUACCGAUUAGUUUGAGGAUUUGCACGGUUUAGAGCUUCCUAAACACUUCUCUAGUAUUGGAUUUCGUUUGGGCAAGUUUUGUGAUACAUUGCAAGGUGGUGUCUAGGAGACCUAAUGCCUAAAUUCGCGCAGCCAAGCAACGCCCGCAACCGUGCAGACAUUUAUACUUUGGUUGCAGGUUUUGCGGAUAUAGGUAUUGACUCGUCCACCUAGCGUAUGAGAUUCUAUGAUUGGAGCAUAUUGCGACAGUCAUAAGUUACGGACUCAUGGGUAGUCCGCAUUUUGGGUAUUUUAUUUAUGGCUCGUGUCCUGCGUGGCACAUGUAUUUGUUGAGCCUGUAUUUUGAUAUGUAAUUAGUGUAAUGUGUUUUAUAAGCCUUAAAUAGAUAAACUUGUAAAUGGCUCUUGUUGUUGAUAAUAGUUAUGUAUUAGAUGUAAUUCUGCUAUUGAUAUGUGUUAUGCUGUACAUUGAUAUUU